ensembl:lncRNA
CCCGUUGUUACACGUAAUGGGAAGCAACACGGGAUGAAAAUGCCCCACGUUCCCCACUCUGCAGUGCCCACGUAAGGGUGACAAACCGCGGGCCGAGGCUCGCGCCCUCCGUCCUCCAGCAACGUGAGGCUGCCCAGAUCCCAGCGUGGCCGCGCCGGCCUUUGGCUCUCAGGCAGUUCCUCACGGUCACAAUCUACACAGAUAUAUUUCUUCCACGUCCGUAUGUGGGGAAUUGAAAUUAGAUGGUAACCAGUGGGAACGGAGCCCUCUGAUCGAAAGACCUCUCUCUCUCUCUCUCUCUCUCUCUUUUUUUUUUUUUUUUUUAUUGCAUUUGGCAACCUCUUUUCUUUCAGAGGCACAAUACAAUUAAUUAACAUAUUCUGGGGCGUGUUUUUGCGAUUGGGAAGUGGUGGCCCCUUGUUGAGAAGAAAACACUUUAAAUAAAAAAGUAACAUUGUUGUGUCCAAAUGGUACUGGGAAAAGCAGAGCGGUACAUGGGCUACAGCCCAUGGAUGCGGUUGAUUUACUCCAGUUUGCUCUAGCAUAUACCAAACCAGCUUUUCCUUUCCCACGCCCAUAUGAGAUAUGUGUUUUGUUUAUACAAAUCCACCUAAAAUAGGUCUGUAUUUAAGAUAUUUGAUGGGAAAUUCAGCACGUCGUUUCUCCUAUGUGGUGGGUAGCAGAGAUACGAUUCCUAAAUUGAAAUCAAAUACACGUGAGCAGCGACACGAUACAGUAUCACGCUGCUCAUCGUAACACCACAAACAUGAGAAAAGGCUGUUAAUUUAUAUGGAAUGUUAAUUUGGCAAAUCCCACGCUGAGGUAUGCCUGUGCAGAAAGAGUAAUCCGAGGCUUGGUUUUGGCAUGAUGCUAUGUAAAUGUAUUUAAUAAAAAUCCAGCCAAUUAAUACGUACCUCCCCCGGAUCCAACCUUUGCAGUGACGUGUGCUUUAAAGAAAAGCCCGAUGUUAUGUUGAAGUUGCAUAUAAUCUAAAUUCCAGAGUUUACUAACGCAGCUUUUCGGGGCUUAACACGACGUUAAUAUUCAAUAUGGUUUGCUGGAAGUUUAUUUCAGGUUCUUUUGUAUCAUACUGUAAUUAUCAUUGCUUUGACUUGACUCACAUAAAAAUGUGGUUAACGUUUAAAUGUCUUUUUAAUGUAGAGAAUUAUAAAUUAACUGUCACAUGUAAAUCUUUUAGCUUCUAUCACUUAGGGAAUGUUAAGUCUUUCACAAGGAAAUAAUCACCACGCUUAAAAAUAUCCCGGGUAGGAUCCUUUCCUUUAGAAUUUUGGUCUGAGAUGGUUCAUUCAAAGAAAAUCCCUUGUUUGGUGUUUACUGUAAACCUCGGUUGGAAAUUAACAUUUAAAUGCCAACAUGAGUAACAGGAGCUGUACUUGAAAACCACCACCGCUACCCAUGGCUGCUAGCUAAGUGGAAUUUACCAAAGUCUCCAAAGGUGAUAAUGCAAUUAAAACCAAUAAAAUGAAUACAAGAGUUGGUGGAAUUCUCCCCCCCUUCCUUUCCACUCUGAGGAAUUACAAAAUUAGGCAUUCCGUUCACAUGAAGGAAAAUAGCACGAGGUGUGGAGGGGCGCGGUGUCCAGGAGAUGCGCCAGCGUGACCCCUGGUGCUGCUACCUGUACCCGUGUUACGUGUGCAACGUGCAAGCUGCCCGGCACGAACUCACCACAUCUGAAGCGUUAGAAGGUUCUAAUCAUUCAGCAACUUGCAUUGGGGUAGGUGUUAAACACAGAUGUGACCAUUAUAUUAAAGAAUAGAAGGGAAAAGAAAACUUUACUUUCUUGGUAUAAUUUAGGAGUAAGCACGUAAAGAUGCGUUAGUGCUUCACCGUGGGUUGUGGACACGCCGUAUCCAUCCUAACUGAACACGGGCAGAAAUAAUUUGUUGGGUCCAAGGCGGGCUGCCAUUCAGAACACGCUACGUGCAAAGAGGUAAAGAUCAAAGCUUUCCCAACAGAGUCGCAAGUUGAAAAUGGACUAAAAAUGGCGACGAGAAAUUUGCUGUAAAGAAUCAGCUGUAAAGUGAGUUUUCCCACUCGGCAGUUCCAGCUCCGAUGUCAGUCGAUGCUUUCUAAUACAGCACCCAUUUUAUGUAAAACUCUGCUUUUUCUGUUAUUCGUGGAGGACUCCUGUGAUGCUUCCAUCCACCCAAUAACGUGCCUCUGUAAAGGAAAGACUUCUGCUUGUUCAAUGCUUUGUUUUAUUCACCGAAGUUACAAUGAUUGUAUACUUUGUAGAGAAAAAGCAGUGAAAUUUAAAGCGAGUAUGCAGAUCCCAGCAUUGUUGUUGGAAGUGAUUAAUGGCUAGUAAAAAUUUAAGGUGAAUACCUCUUUAUUUUUGCUAAUGAAGCUGACGUGCCACGCAGUGCUGCAUGGUAACAUUUCCGUGAGGGAUCCCUUAAACUUUUGAAACGCUUCACACGUGGGAAGGGUAAUUUUCAUUCACUCGUGCAUUCAUUCUACUCAAAAAACAGCUAAAAAAAUGUGGGUACGUAUCACCCUGUUGUAUGUUUGUCAUACCCAAACUCGCCUAGCUGUUAGACCCUGUAGGUUUCUUUUAAGAGAAUUGGCUUUUCUCCUCGUGUUGAGAUUAACAAUGAAAUUAUUCAGUCUUACCCCCUGAAUUAUAUUCCUCUCUAAUUAUUUUAAUCUCUUAUAUAUCACUAUAAGAAGGACAGGCUUCUUUUUUCAAACAGAAAAUUGGCCUUCUGUGUCGUGUCAGCGCUUAUUAAAUACUACAAUCAUAAGAACACAUAUGCUACAAGAUUUUACGUUCUGAUUCCGUAGCUGUUACGGGCUUAGCGGCUGCAGUAUUUAUUUAGUGGUAAUGCAUUGCUUUUUCCUAUUUUGCAUUUCAAAGCUCUCCCUUAAACGACUGUUUUACAGAACUAUCCAGAGGUUAUCUAAAUUUCCCCAUCAAAUAUUACGCAGCACCAUAAGCUGGGAGUCGUGGAGUUUCUUUCCUUUCAUUUACAUUCUCUUUAUAGAAAGAACUGAUCAGAAAAGCCACAAAAAAUACAACAAAUCCUUUAGGAAACAGUUCGGUGUAUUUGGUUUGACUGAAUUUGGACCAAAGCAAAGUUUCAAGCUGGUGUUAAACGCUCUCAGAGUACAACGUUUUUAUUUGAACGCUAUGCAGUGUGCUUCUCAUGGAUAUAUUCUCGGUUCCUCGGCGCGGCUUUAAUCACGUUGUUGCAAAGCAAUUAAUUUUUUUGUUGCUGUAGUGAUGCAUUUUUAUAAAGCCAGAAAUUGGGUUUCAGAAUCACCAACGUCAAAAAAGCCAAAGCCCCAAACCCGGCGCUGCCGGGAGCCGCACGCGUUGCUGUUCAAAGAGGAAGCUGCAGGAAAACCGUCUCAAUUAAUUAAUAAAGAAAUAGGAAAGCAAAAGCAAUGAUAAAAAUGUACGACUGUUUGUUGCAAUACGAGCGUUACUGUACGCGUACAUUCGUCCAGCAAAUUAAAAUACACUUAAUAUGUUUUCCUCUCAAAAGGAUAUUUGUUUUAAUUUACCUGUCAGGGAAAUAAAGGACAGAUUUGCCGCUGUACCGUGAUUUUUUUCUCCUUGUCAGGGUUAACAGAAUCAUUGGGAAUGCUUUUUAAAUUAGAUGUCAUUUUCUUGACACGAACGAGGAAGGGCCAGGAGGGUGUAUCUACCUUCAGAUCAUUUGCCUUUUUUAGCAGUGGGGUCUGUUGGGUGCUUUAUUUCCUCACGCAGUAAUUGCUCACACCUGCAAUUUUCAGCGUACUUUUUUACAAGCCUUAAAAGUAAUAAAAAUAGCGUUGUGUGUUUUCUCCUACAAAUAGUUCCGAGUUCAGACGUGUGUUCUUCCCUGCUAAGAUGGGGCGGUUUCGUGCGGGGCGGCUUUUUUUUUGGGAGCACUGCUUGCAUUAUUUUACGCAAACCGAAACAUUCCACAUCCCGACACCCUCCCCCCGUUUGUUUUUUUGUUCCGUGCGUGCAAAACGUCUAACCUCGGGGAUACGGCAGCGUGCAUUUACAGAGAAACGUUACAGCGGGUCCCAAAUGGCUGUGCUAAUUGCACUGGGCUGGGCCUUCACGGAGGAAGCUGCCUCCAUCACUCCCCUUGCCUUUGCCCUCCAUUCUUCCUCUAUUUAUCUAAUUUCACUUAAAACUUUCAGGGAGAGAAAAGAGCGUGACCCGAGCUGUCCUGCCUGCACUGCGGCUCUGGGGGUGGAGCUGGGCACAUCCUUACCCAGAUCCCUUCUUCCUGCUCCCAUACACGUUAGUUAACAACAUAUAAAACGCAUA